CUUCGAAAUAUGCACACAGCACGUAUGGCCUAUCUCUAGACUGUGAAAGUAAUUCCUUCGUAGAGACACUGCCAUUGCGAAAAACAUGGCCCACAGAUCAACCUUACUGGUGAUAGCCAUCGCGUGUCUGCUUCUUUGUGAAGGGAACGCCGUCAUGAGAAGGCCAUAUGACUCUGAAGCUGGAGCCAGAGCUGUUUUCGAUGCAUCAGAGCGUUCCGGAAGUGCAGCUCACGAAGAGCAAGGUCGGGUGAGCGGCAACUGUGUCUCCACUCUCUGCGGCCAAUCUAUGGGGUGAGGACUUCCGGAUGAAGGCAGCGGGCGAGAGCAAUCGAGAAUUGACGUGACUCUGUAAUAAAGGAAGAGUUACAGAAA